CGUCCAUCUCAAAACAGAUCCGCCCUGGACUACUAAUAGCAUGUUUAUGUUUUAGCUUCAUUCCAGUUCCUAGCUGAAUUUUCUUUUGAGGGAUUUUUGAAUAUUAAAAACAGCAUUUUAGAUGCACUGCCAGGUCUUUUGGGUGGAGAUGCUUUCUAUUUAUCAAACGAUAUCGGUAAACUGAUCUCGUCUAUAACAUCUAAAUUGUUUCCAAACUUGGGUAUACCGGUAAUUAGCAUAGGUACAACAGACAGUUAUCCGGCAACCACUGCUAUUGUGCCACCAACAAGCUGGGUACCCUGGACUAAACCAACACCUGUCACUUAUCCCACGCGAAGUAUUUGGCCUAUUUUCCCUAAUUUUACAAUGCCAACCUUCCCUAAGCC
rnacentral:lncRNA from 1 species